rnacentral:rRNA from 1 species
UACGAAGGGGGCUAGCGUUGUUCGGAAUUACUGGGCGUAAAGGGCGCGCAGGCGGCUGCUCAAGUCAGGCGUGAAAGGCCUGGGCUCAACCCGGGAAUUGCGCUUGAGACUGGGCUGGCUUGAGUGCGGGAGAGGAUGGUGGAAUUCCCAGUGUAGAGGUGAAAUUCGUAGAUAUUCGGCGGAACACCAGUGGCGAAGGCGACUCACUGGCCCGAUACUGACGCUGAGGCGCGAAAGCGUGGGGAGCAAACAGG